GUUGAUCCUGCCGGACCCGACUGCUAUCAGAGUGGGACUAAGCCAUGCGAGUCAACGCCGUAAGGCGUGGCAUACGGCUCAGUAACACGUAGUCAACAUGCCCAAAGGACGUGGAUAACCUCGGGAAACUGAGGAUAAACCGCGAUAGGCCAAGGUUUCUGGAAUGAGCCAUGGCCGAAAUCUAUAUGGCCUUUGGAUUGGACUGCGGCCGAUCAGGCUGUUGGUGAGGUAAUGGCCCACCAAACCUGUAACCGGUACGGGCUUUGAGAGAAGGAGCCCGGAGAUGGGCACUGAGACAAGGGCCCAGGCCCUAUGGGGCGCAGCAGGCGCGAAACCUCUGCAAUAGGCGAAAGCUUGACAGGGUUACUCUGAGUGAUGCCCGCUAAGGGUAUCUUUUGGCACCUCUAAAAAUGGUGCAGAAUAAGGGGUGGGCAAGUCUGGUGUCAGCCGCCGCGGUAAUACCAGCACCCCGAGUUGUCGGGACGAUUAUUGGGCCUAAAGCAUCCGUAGCCUGUUCUGCAAGUCCUCCGUUAAAUCCACCUGCUCAACGGAUGGGCUGCGGAGGAUACCGCAGAGCUAGGAGGCGGGAGAGGCAAACGGUACUCAGUAAGUAGGGGUUAAA
rnacentral:rRNA from 1 species